rnacentral:rRNA from 1 species
GAUGAACGCCAGCUACAGGCUUAACACAUGCAAGUCGAGGGGAAACGACAUCGAAAGCUUGCUUUUGAUGGGCGUCGACCGGCGCACGGGUGAGUAACGCGUAUCCAACCUGCCCACCACUUGGGGAUAACCUUGCGAAAGUAAGACUAAUACCCAAUGAUAUCCCACGAAGACAUCUGAAUGGGAUUAAAGAUUUAUCGGUGAUGGAUGGGGAUGCGUCUGAUUAGCUUGUUGGCGGGGUAACGGCCCACCAAGGCAACGAUCAGUAGGGGUUCUGAGAGGAAGGUCCCCCACAUUGGAACUGAGACACGGUCCAAACUCCUACGGGAGGCAGCAGUGAGGAAUAUUGGUCAAUGGGCGAGAGCCUGAACCAGCCAAGUAGCGUGCAGGAAGACGGCCCUAUGGGUUGUAAACUGCUUUUAUAAGGGAAUAAAGUGGGUCACGUGUGACUUUUUGCAUGUACCUUAUGAAUAAGGACCGGCUAAUUCCGUG